rnacentral:lncRNA from 1 species
UUGGCGACUUUAAGUGCAUCUGGCUUCACUCGGGUUUCACCUGCAAGGAAUAAGGAAUUGAAUAAAUACGAUUCUGUAUUAUAGAACUUUGAUGAAUGACUGGAUAUGGAGUUUGCUGCAUACAGGGGAGCGAGAACGGGAUAAACUUCUGGUCUUGAUGGGGCUCCUGCUCGCAGACUUGUCAUGGGUGGGCUGCAAAAAAUAUGAAUAAUGAUAUGGAAGGAAUUAUGUGAUGGAAGAAUUUACGUCCUUUGAAGACUUACAACAGCAGGUGAUAGGGAUCUUGAUGAUGACCUGCAAAAUAUUCCCACAACCAACAAAUCGUCACUCAGUAGUAUUGCACUCAUAUUGUUUGAUCACAAUAUGUCUACACCUAUGCACAUGACAUGAGACUGGGUACAUUCUCACCCUUGCCCCACCGCCCAUGUCUUUUGCACCACAAAAUAAAUUUGCAAAUUACAAGCCUUUAUUUUUCAACAGGUUUAUGGUAAAUGAAAAAGUAGACAAUAUGGGUUGAUGGUUUUGAUCCAACAGGUAAAAUCUA